rnacentral:rRNA from 1 species
AUUGAACGCUGGCGGCAUGCUUUACACAUGCAAGUCGAACGGCAGCGCGGGCUUCGGCCUGGCGGCGAGUGGCGAACGGGUGAGUAAUACAUCGGAACGUGCCCAGUAGUGGGGGAUAGCUCGGCGAAAGCCGGAUUAAUACCGCAUACGACCUGAGGGUGAAAGCGGGGGAUCUUCGGACCUCGCGCUAUUGGAGCGGCCGAUGGCAGAUUAGCUAGUUGGUGGGGUAAAGGCCUACCAAGGCGACGAUCUGUAGCUGGUCUGAGAGGACGACCAGCCACACUGGGACUGAGACACGGCCCAGACUCCUACGGGAGGCAGCAGUGGGGAAUUUUGGACAAUGGGCGGAAGCCUGAUCCAGCAAUGCCGCGUGUGUGAUGAAGGCCUUCGGGUUGUAAAGCACUUUUGGCGGGAACGAAAAGGACUGUGCCAAUACCACGGUUCGAUGACGGUACCCGCAGAAUAAGCACCGGCUAACUACGUG